GCGGAGGGAUCAUUACCGAGUUUUCAACUCCCCAAACCCAAUGUGAACCAUACCAAACUGUUGCCUCGGCGGGGUCACGCCCCGGGUGCGUCGCAGCCCCGGAACCAGGCGCCCGCCGGAGGGACCAACCAAACUCUUUACUGUAGUCCCCUCGCGGACGUUAUUUCUUACAGCUCUGAGCAAAAAAUUCAAAAUGAAUCAAAACUUUCAACAACGGAUCUCUUGGUUCUGGCAUCGAUGAAGAACGCAGCGAAAUGCGAUAAGUAAUGUGAAUUGCAGAAUUCAGUGAAUCAUCGAAUCUUUGAACGCACAUUGCGCCCGCCAGUAUUCUGGCGGGCAUGCCUGUCCGAGCGUCAUUUCAACCCUCGAACCCCUCCGGGGGGUCGGCGUUGGGGAUCGGGAACCCCUCAGACGGGAUCCCGGCCCCGAAAUACAGUGGCGGUCUCGCCGCAGCCUCUCCUGCGCAGUAGUUUGCACAACUCGCACCGGGAGCGCGGCGCGUCCACGUCCGUAAAACACCCAACUUUCUGAAAUGUUGACCUCGGAUCAGGUAGGAAUACCCGCUGAACUUAAGCAUAU
rnacentral:rRNA from 1 species